GGGUCAGUAGGUUGGUCGUGCCACCGGUACGUACUGGUCUCACUGAUUCCUCCUUCCUGAAGAACCGUAAUGCCAUUAAUUUGGUGUUGCGGGGAAACAGGACUGUUACUUUGAAAAAAUUAGAGUGUUUAAAGCAAGCUAACGCUUGAAUACAUUAGCAUGGAAUAAUGAAAUACGACGAUCGAUCCUAUUUUGUUGGUUUUUAGGAUUGACGUA
rnacentral:rRNA from 1 species